CACAUAUGUAGGAGCGAAUAUUUAAAUAGACAUUAUGUCCUUUGAACCAAACUUCAAGCAACCUGAUAAACAUAACCAAAUCCACACUAUAAAGAGAUUCGAUUAUUCCGAUUUAAUAGUAGAUGGAAAGUCAGACAUAAAAGAAUUUUCUGCUAGACCUAGUUCUGCUCUUUGGCUUAUUUUAUGUAGUCUUAUUGAGAAUUUAUAUUACAUGCUUAAUAAAUCCAAUGACAUCAACAAACUAAAAAGACUAACAAAUCUACUAAAAUCAUUAAACAUCAUACCAAAUAUAAUGAUGUCACCUGAAUUUGCAAAUUCAAGAAAAAAUAUAUGGG